AUUGAACGCUGGCGGCAGGCCUAACACAUGCAAGUCGAGCGGUAGAGAGGUGCUUGCACCUCUUGAGAGCGGCGGACGGGUGAGUAAUGCCUAGGAAUCUGCCUGGUAGUGGGGGAUAACGCUCGGAAACGGACGCUAAUACCGCAUACGUCCUACGGGAGAAAGCAGGGGACCUUCGGGCCUUGCGCUAUCAGAUGAGCCUAGGUCGGAUUAGCUAGUUGGUGAGGUAAUGGCUCACCAAGGCGACGAUCCGUAACUGGUCUGAGAGGAUGAUCAGUCACACUGGAACUGAGACGCGGUACAGACUACUACGGGAGGCAGCAGUGGGUAAUAUUGGACAAUGGGCGAAAGCCUGAUCCAGCCAUGCCGCGUGUGUGAAGAAGGUCUUCGGAUUGUAAAGCACUUUAAGUUGGGAGGAAGGGUCGUUACCUAAUACGUGACGAUUUUGACGUUACCGACAGAAUAAGCACCGGCUAACUCUGUGCCAGCCGCCGCGGUAAUAC
rnacentral:rRNA from 1 species